CACAGAUCAAAUGCAGGGAAGGAGAGGAUGGACAGUGAUAAUUUAGGAGCAGUUGCAUCUGUAGACUGAAAAUGACCUGAAAUGCUGGCAGAGUCUUCUGGGUUUUGACAUUUCCUGUGUGGGAUCUCCAUAUAUUAUUGCCCAUCAGUCAAGCAGGAAAAAAAGGGUAUCAUUCUAUCACCAAGAGUGGAGGGCAGUGCCAUGAUCUCGGGUCACUGCAGCCUCAACCUCCUGGGC
rnacentral:lncRNA from 1 species